AGGCAUUCAGGCAGCGAGAGCAGAGCGGCUGGUGAGGCAGGAGGCUCAGCCUGAGGAAUUCACAGAUAAGUUUCUACUUAAAAAGAUUGAACAAUAAAAAGAAUUAGGACUCUAAACUUAAGUUAACAGAGCAGCUUAUCGAAAUAAUACUUAGUCUUAAUAAUCUAAGAAGAUUUUAAAGAUAACAUGAAGGCUUAUUUAAACAGUUUGAAAAAGGAAAAGAGAAGAAAAAUAUUUGUACAGUGUGAUGGAGGCUGACCUGAAGCAUUUAUCCAGAGCAGGUUAGGAGGUCGUAAGGGGAGGUGUUAACGAAGUUUUAAGAGGUUCUAGUUUGAGGGUCAGCCUUGUAGAUUAAAACGAAGGUUACCUAAACAGAAUCUAAAUGGCAUUUAAAACAGUAAAGUCGUAGACAAUAGUUUGAAAAUGAGGUCAGGCUAGUAUUUGGAGAAAGAAGAUUAGAAAAUGGAAGUGAAAAACGA
rnacentral:lncRNA from 1 species